rnacentral:rRNA from 1 species
AGCGUACACGGUGGAUGCCCUGGCAGUCAGAGGCGAUGAAGGACGUGCUAAUCUGCGAUAAGCGUCGGUAAGGUGAUAUGAACCGUUAUAACCGGCGAUUUCCGAAUGGGGAAACCCAGUGUGAUUCGUCACACUAUCAUUAACUGAAUCCAUAGGUUAAUGAGGCGAACCGGGGGAACUGAAACAUCUAAGUACCCCGAGGAAAAGAAAUCAACCGAGAUUCCCCAGUAGCGGCGAGCGAACGGGGAGCAGCCCAGAGCCUGAAUCAGUGUGUGUGUUAGUGGAAGCGUCUGGAAAGGCGUGCGAUACAGGGUGACAGCCCCGUACACAAAAAUGCACAUAUUGUGAGCUCGAUGAGUAGGGCGGGACACGUGGUAUCCUGUCUGAAUAUGGGGGGACCAUCCUCCAAGGCUAAAUACUCCUGACUGACCGAUAGUGAACCAGUACCGUGAGGGAAAGGCGAAAAGAACCCCGGCGAGGGGAGUGAAAAAGAACCUGAAACCGUGUACGUACAAGCAGUGGGAGCACGCUUAGGCGUGUGACUGCGUACCUUUUGUAUAAUGGGUCAGCGACUUAUAUUCUGUAGCAAGGUUAACCGAAUAGGGGAGCCGAAGGGAAACCGAGUCUUAACUGGGCGUUAAGUUGCAGGGUAUAGACCCGAAACCCGGUGAUCUAGCCAUGGGCAGGUUGAAGGUUGGGUAACACUAACUGGAGGACCGAACCGACUAAUGUUGAAAAAUUAGCGGAUGACUUGUGGCUGGGGGUGAAAGGCCAAUCAAACCGGGAGAUAGCUGGUUCUCCCCGAAAGCUAUUUAGGUAGCGCCUCGUGAAUUCAUCUCCGGGGUAGAGCACUGUUUCGGCAAGGGGGUCAUCCCGACUUACCAACCCGAUGCAAACUGCGAAUACCGGAGAAUGUUAUCACGGGAGACACACGGCGGGUGCUAACGUCCGUCGUGAAGAGGGAAACAACCCAGACCGCCAGCUAAGGUCCCAAAGUCAUGGUUAAGUGGGAAACGAUGUGGGAAGGCCCAGACAGCCAGGAUGUUGGCUUAGAAGCAGCCAUCAUUUAAAGAAAGCGUAAUAGCUCACUGGUCGAGUCGGCCUGCGCGGAAGAUGUAACGGGGCUAAACCAUGCACCGAAGCUGCGGCAGCGACACUAUGUGUUGUUGGGUAGGGGAGCGUUCUGUAAGCCUGUGAAGGUGUACUGUGAGGUAUGCUGGAGGUAUCAGAAGUGCGAAUGCUGACAUAAGUAACGAUAAAGCGGGUGAAAAGCCCGCUCGCCGGAAGACCAAGGGUUCCUGUCCAACGUUAAUCGGGGCAGGGUGAGUCGACUCCUAAGGCGAGGCCGAAAGGCGUAGUCGAUGGGAAACAGGUUAAUAUUCCUGUACUUGGUGUUACUGCGAAGGGGGGACGGAGAAGGCUAUGUUGGCCGGGCGACGGUUGUCCCGGUUUAAGCGUGUAGGCUGGUUUUCCAGGCAAAUCCGGAAAACUAAGGCUGAGGCGUGAUGACGAGGCACUACGGUGCUGAAGCAACAAAUGCCCUGCUUCCAGGAAAAGCCUCUAAGCAUCAGGUAACAUCAAAUCGUACCCCAAACCGACACAGGUGGUCAGGUAGAGAAUACCAAGGCGCUUGAGAGAACUCGGGUGAAGGAACUAGGCAAAAUGGUGCCGUAACUUCGGGAGAAGGCACGCUGAUAUGUAGGUGAAGUCCCUCGCGGAUGGAGCUGAAAUCAGUCGAAGAUACCAGCUGGCUGCAACUGUUUAUUAAAAACACAGCACUGUGCAAACACGAAAGUGGACGUAUACGGUGUGACGCCUGCCCGGUGCCGGAAGGUUAAUUGAUGGGGUCAGCGCAAGCGAAGCUCUUGAUCGAAGCCCCGGUAAACGGCGGCCGUAACUAUAACGGUCCUAAGGUAGCGAAAUUCCUUGUCGGGUAAGUUCCGACCUGCACGAAUGGCGUAAUGAUGGCCAGGCUGUCUCCACCCGAGACUCAGUGAAAUUGAACUCGCUGUGAAGAUGCAGUGUACCCGCGGCAAGACGGAAAGACCCCGUGAACCUUUACUAUAGCUUGACACUGAACAUUGAGCCUUGAUGUGUAGGAUAGGUGGGAGGCUUUGAAGUGUGGACGCCAGUCUGCAUGGAGCCGACCUUGAAAUACCACCCUUUAAUGUUUGAUGUUCUAACGUUGACCCGUAAUCCGGGUUGCGGACAGUGUCUGGUGGGUAGUUUGACUGGGGCGGUCUCCUCCUAAAGAGUAACGGAGGAGCACGAAGGUUGGCUAAUCCUGGUCGGACAUCAGGAGGUUAGUGCAAUGGCAUAAGCCAGCUUGACUGCGAGCGUGACGGCGCGAGCAGGUGCGAAAGCAGGUCAUAGUGAUCCGGUGGUUCUGAAUGGAAGGGCCAUCGCUCAACGGAUAAAAGGUACUCCGGGGAUAACAGGCUGAUACCGCCCAAGAGUUCAUAUCGACGGCGGUGUUUGGCACCUCGAUGUCGGCUCAUCACAUCCUGGGGCUGAAGUAGGUCCCAAGGGUAUGGCUGUUCGCCAUUUAAAGUGGUACGCGAGCUGGGUUUAGAACGUCGUGAGACAGUUCGGUCCCUAUCUGCCGUGGGCGCUGGAGAACUGAGGGGGGCUGCUCCUAGUACGAGAGGACCGGAGUGGACGCAUCACUGGUGUUCGGGUUGUCAUGCCAAUGGCACUGCCCGGUAGCUAAAUGCGGAAGAGAUAAGUGCUGAAAGCAUCUAAGCACGAAACUUGCCCCGAGAUGAGUUCUCCCUGACUCCUUGA